rnacentral:rRNA from 1 species
UACGAAGGGGGCUAGCGUUGCUCGGAAUCACUGGGCGUAAAGCGCACGUAGGCGGCUUUCUAAGUCGGUGGUGAAAUCCUGGAGCUCAACUCCAGAACUGCCUCCGAUACUGGAGGGCUCGAGUCCGGGAGAGGUGAGUGGAACUGCGAGUGUAGAGGUGAAAUUCGUAGAUAUUCGCAAGAACACCAGUGGCGAAGGCGGCUCACUGGCCCGGUACUGACGCUGAGGUGCGAAAGCGUGGGGAGCAAACAGG